rnacentral:tRNA from 1 species
GUGGGUAUAGCUCAAGUGGUAGAGCACAUGCUUAGCAUGCAUAAGGUCCUGGGCUCAAUCCCCAGCAUCUCCU